GACGAACGCUGGCGGCGCGCUUAAUACAUGCAAGUCGAGCGAGAACCAGAGCUUCGGCUCUGGGGACAGCGGCGAACGGGUGAGUAACACGUGAGUAAUCUGCCCUCGGCACCGGGAUAGCCCGGGGAAACCCGGAUUAAUACCGGAUGGCCUCUCGAGCUUUCGGGCUCGUGAGAAAAGGUAGCUUCGGCCUCCGGCCGAGGAGGAGCCCGCGGCGGAUUAGCUUGUUGGUGGGGUAACGGCUCACCAAGGCGACGAUCCGUAGCUGAUCUGAGAGGACGAUCAGCCACACUGGGACUGAGACACGGCCCAGACUCCUACGGGAGGCAGCAGUAGGGAAUCUUGCGCAAUGGGCGAAAGCCUGACGCAGCGACGCCGCGUGCGGGAAGAAGGCCUUCGGGUUGUAAACCGCUUUCAGGAGGGACGAAGCCACUCGGGUUAAUAGCCCAGAGGGUGACGGUACCUCCAGAAGAAGCCCCGGCUAACUACGUGCCAGCCGCCGCUGUAAAAC
rnacentral:rRNA from 1 species